rnacentral:tRNA from 1 species
GCACGAGUUGCGAAUACGGUAUCGCAACCUGAUUAUUACAUCAGAGGCAGAAAUGCAUGUGGGUUCGAAUCCCUCCUCGUGUA